UGGCGCCCAACGUGGGGCUUGGAUACGGGGGAAUCCGUGAGGAAGACGACGUGGAAGCCGGCCGAGAAUAAAAGUGAAAGAAAACUGUUUCUGCCGCCGCGGGAGCCUGCCGCGUCGGACCUGCAGGUAAGUGUCACGUUCGGAAAUGGGACAAGAAUUAAGCCAGCAUGACCUUUAUGUAGACCAAUUAAAAAAGGCUUUAAAGGCACGAGGAGUAAAGGUUAAAUACGCUGAUCUACUGAAAUUUUUUGACUUUGUUAAAGAUACUUGCCCUU
rfam:Simian retrovirus Y proviral DNA, complete genome, strain: Y001.